rnacentral:rRNA from 1 species
GUCGAGAGGCUUUGGCAAUGGGGGAAACCCUGACCAAGCGACGCCGCGUGGAGGAUGAAGGCCCUUGGGUUGUAAACUCCUUUUGUCGGGGAAGAAAUGCGAUCAGGUUAAUAAUCUGGUCGUUUGACGGUACCCGGCGAAUAAGCUCCGGCUAACUCCGUGCCAGCAGCCGCGGUAACACGGGGGGAGCAAGCGUUGUUCGGAAUCACUGGGCGUAAAGGGCGUGUAGGCGGUUAGGUAAGUGGGAUGUGAAAUGCCUCGGCUCACCCGAGGACCGGCAUCCCAAACUGCCCGACUUGAGUAUGGGAGAGGAUGUGGGAAUUCCUGGUGUAGCGGUGAAAUGCGUAGAUAUCAGGAGGAACACCGGUGGCGAAGGCGCACAUCUGGCCCAAUACUGACGCUGAGGCGCGAAAGCUAGGGGAGCAAACGGGAUUAGAUACCCGAGUAGUCC